GCCAUAAACAACAUUGUACACGUAUCUUCACCUCCUGGGAAUUGUACUCCUGUGUGAUAUAUUCCUGGGAGUUGUCAUGGAUAGAAAGGAAGAUUCACCCUGAGCCAACAUCCAUUGCCAAUACUCCUCUUUUUUGCUUGAGGAAGAUAAGCUCUGAGCCAACAUCUGUGCCAAUCCUCUUCUACCUUGCAUGUGGGAUGCCUCCACAGCAUGACUGAUGAGUGGAGUAGGUUUGUACCUGGGAUCCGAACCCAGGAACCUUGGGCCACAGAAGCGGAGCACAUGGAACUUUAACCACUCUGCCACCAGGCUAGCCCCCAAG
rnacentral:lncRNA from 1 species